rnacentral:rRNA from 1 species
UACGUAGGGGGCAAGCGUUGUCCGGAAUCAUUGGGCGUAAAGAGCGUGUAGGCGGCCCGGUAAGUCCGCCUGUGAAAGUCCAGGGCUCAACCCUGGGAUGCCGGUGGAUACUGUCGGGCUCGAGUCCGGAAGAGGAGUGUGGAAUUCCUGGUGUAGCGGUGAAAUGCGCAGAUAUCAGGAGGAACACCGGUGGCGAAGGCGGGUCUCUGGGCCGAUACUGACUGAGGAGCGAAAGCGUGGGGAGCGAACAG